rnacentral:rRNA from 1 species
AACGUAGGAGACUAGCGUUAUCCGGAUUUACUGGGCGUAAAGCGUGUGCAGGCGGUUCGGCAAGUUGGAUGUGAAAUCUCCCGGCUCAACUGGGAGGGGUCGUUCAAUACUACCGAACUUGAGGGCAUCAGAGGAAGGUGGAAUUCCGGGUGUAGUGGUGAAAUGCGUAGAUAUCCGGAGGAACACCAGUGGCGAAGGCGGCCUCUGGGAUGCUCCUGACGCUCAGACACGAAAGCUAGGGGAGCGAACGGGG